AACGCGAAGAACCUUACCUGGGCUUGACAUGUUGGUGACCGCCGUGGAAACACGGUUUUCCUUCGGGACACCAUCACAGGUGGUGCAUGUCUGUCGUCAGCUCGUGUCGUGAGAUGUUGGGUUAAGUCCCGCAACGAGCGCAACCCUCGCCUUUAGUUGCCAGCGGUUCGGCCGGGCACUCUAGCGAAACCGCCUCGGAUAACGGGGAGGAAGGUGGGGAUGACGUCAAGUCCUCAUGGCCUUUAUGUCCAGGGCUACACACGUGCUACAAUGGCAGGUACAGAGGGAAGCCAACGUGCGAGCGGGAGCCAAUCCCAGAAAGCCUGUCGUAGUCCGGAUCGGAGUCUGCAACUCGACUCCGUGAAGCCGGAAUCGCUAGUAAUCGCGAAUCAGCAUUGUCGCGGUGAAUACGUUCCCGGGUCUUGUACACACCG
rnacentral:rRNA from 1 species